GUAAACCAGCGGUUGAUUAGAUAGAUAGAUAGUUUUAUUUAGACAUUUUUUACAUAAAUAGUCUUUACAACAAAUGGCGCGUCAGUAGUACAAAAGAAAAAAGAAAGAUUAACGCUGACAACUUGCGGUUGUGGAUAAAUAAAUCGUAUAAACAAUAGAAAAAUUCCAUGUAUGAAAGCAAUAUGAAGUACCAUACAUAAAUUAUAAAGUGUAAAAACGAUGGCAUCUAAAAUUAACAGAAAUCGUAAAUAUCGAUAGCUAAAACAUAGGUUGAUGUAAAAUUUGUGUUUGGCCGAAAGGAUGUAUGCUGUAAUUGAGUAAAAAGCAUGCUCCAGACGAAACAGUCUAAUUUCUCUGGAGAAUUUAGACUAUGAUAAGUCUCUGAUAUGUUGAGGAAGAACAUUGUACGAGUCGGUGCCAGGCUUAUUCCUUGCCGAAGUCGUCAGUCUGGAAUAGUAUGGUGAGGUCUGCCUGUCUGGUGUUGUGUGCAUGUCUUUCAAAAGCACCUAUAUUUUCAUGGACGUGGGCCAGUGUACGGUAAAUGAACAGAUAGGGCGACAAUGUGCCAGAGGUAUUGAUCCGCGAAUUGUGCGUAUAGCUUGAUUCAGAUGCCUGACUUUACUGCCUGAGAAGGUCAUACGCCGAGUUUUGCUGUAAUUAAGAACAAGGUUGGUGCAGUUGAAUGAGGUUUCCGCGACUUCCUCUGCGCGGACACACUCUUCGGCCAGAUGAAUGGGAUUCUUUCCCCUUAUAAGGAGGGCAGUAUCGUCUGCGUAGAGCGUAACAUGAUGGGGGAUGUUCAAGAGGAGAUCAUUAAUGUAUAUAACGAAAAGUAGGGGGCCUAGGAUAGAGCCUUGCGGAACACCACACCUGACGGGAAGUUGAUCGCUCCUAGUUCCGUUGAUUUCUUCUAACGAUUCUAUUGUUCAGGUAAGACUUGAGCAAUUCGAGCGGAGUGCCCCUCACACCAUACCACUCCAACUUCCGAUACAAUACAUUGUGAUCAAUACAGUCAAAAGCCUUAGCAAACAAUGUGGCUCUUCCCACUUCAGUGCCAUCAAGAUCAAAUGCCACCUCCUCGACAAAGUCCACAAAAGCAAGAGUCGAAAACGAAAACGAAAUUGAGAACUGCUGAACAGAUUUUUGUUCUCGAAUUAGUCUAUGAGCCUGUUCUUCAAUAUCUUCUCCACCAUCUUGGCCAGAACCGGGAUGAUUGCCAUUGGACGGUAAUUAUUUAGAUCGCAUUGAUCGCCCUUUUUAUGGUUUUAGAGUUUUGGUUAGUUUUUGCCUUGUGCCAUGUUGUCAACAGGAUUCAUAUCAGCGAAUUCUAAAACAUUCCCUCCCAACACAUUUCGGUACACCAUUGAUCAGCAUCAACUUUGUGAGAAGAAUUAAGUAUGUGUCUGAGUUUCUCUCCAGCUUUUUCGCGGAUUAAAAUCUCCCUUCAGUCCGAUUCUGAUUCGCAGUGGAAUGUAGUAGUUGAAUCAGGACCUACGAGUGGCUUCCAGUCUCUAAAUUUGCAUUAUGGAGGCGAAAUGGACUUCGAAAACGAGCUGAAGCUGUGCGGUGUCUAUGCGCGGUCUGUUUUACAAUAUCCCACCUUUGUGAUAUAUCUGUACUAUUCGAAACAUCGGUUCUUGUAUAACAUGAAAAUAAGUUGACACUUUUGAUUGAAUUUUAAGCAUUAAAUCUGACAUUUUCAUUUGUGCACGUCAGGAUAAUACUAAUUCAUUAAAUCCAAUUCUUCCGAAAUAUUAUCAAGAUGAAAAAAGUCGCGCAAACCUUCGAUACCCUGGGCAAUAAAUACGGCAAAAAAGAUAUAGAAAGGAUAGGACUUUUCAGCGAGAUGCCUUAUAUGAUUGGAAAAGGAUAUAUUUCACGCGUUUCACGAUCUCCGAGAGCCAAGGGGAAAAAUAUACUCGCCGGUGGCCCCAAAACCAAGACAGGUUCGCAGGAUUGCUACUUUGAUAAGGAAUUCAAACGCCUGUUCGUUGGCGAAGCCCUGAAAGGCAGAGGCAGAAAAAGGAAAACAACGUUAGCGAAAUACGUGUCGCAGAAACCGUUCGUCCCGCCCGGAGUGCCCAAAAGACACGCGUGUCCCGGAGACUGGUUCGGUACUUUCGGUGGAAAAGUUGAAGCUUUUGGCGUCGGUCGCAAGAAAAAACCACCCCACAAAUCUCAACUCACAAAUCUUUUGACCAGUCCGGGCAAAAAGGGUGGUUAUGGCUACGUGGACAUUUGCUUCAGUCCCUAUCCAGCUCAUAGCAUCGAUCGUUAUGGUACUAAACCGAAAUUUAAAAGCUACGGGAAAAUUUCCCAUGGCCCAUUGGUGAUUGGUAUGCAUCCCAAAGAGUAUUUCGAAGAGAAUCCAUUCAAAAAUCCGGAGUCAAUAAAGCCUGGACCUACGUAUGUGCCACCAAAAGAAAAAGAAAAACCUUUUCUACCACCCGGAAAAAUCAUACCUACGGGGCCUUCCAAAUUGCCAGGAGGUUGCUUUAGCAAGUUUCCUGAAUAUAAAACAAGCAAAUAUGGCGGAAGACUAGAAGUUAGCAAGCCGUCCAAAGCCAAGGGAGUAUUUUACCCUCAGCGCACAGCUGAAACGUCGUACUACACUUGUUCAAUAGUCAACGAAAAUAUUCGAUUUCGACUCAAUAUUAAAAACCACGAUAUGUAUGAAAGUUCAUACGUCAAGCACUUGGUCCGCGAUUGAAACUUCGGAGAGCUGAAAUUUUGUUGAUGUUUUGACGAACAAAAAUAAAGGAUAUAAAUAAAGGUUAUUUAUUAUAUAGGUAAUUAAUUAAGUAACUAUAUGAUUUAAGUAGAUUAGAUGAACUGCAACGACUAGAUGAAAUGAUGAACAAUUUGAAGAGAUACUGUUAUACUUUUUUAAUUGGUAUAACAAAAAUUAAUUGGAAAAAUUGCAAAAAUAAACGAAAUAAAUGUAUAUGCUUUAAAAAUAAAUUAAUACAGUAAUAUUUUUAAGAGCCAAAAACAGACAACGGCACGGGGAGUUCCAAGCGGUCACCCAAUUCAAGAACUAACGGCGUCCGACGUUAUUUAACUUAAGAGAUCGGACGGCAUCUAGUGUUUCAACCUUUGCAUCACGUGUACCACAAACCAGAGCCGUAUUUAAGACAUUAGUCGACAAGAACUGUGCCG